UGUGCCAGCCGCCGCGGUAAUACGUAGGUGGCAAGCGUUGUCCGGAAUUAUUGGGCGUAAAGCGCGCGCAGGCGGUUAUGUAAGUCUGAUGUUAAAGCCCGGGGCUCAACCUCGGUCCGCAUUGGAAACUGCGUAACUUGAGUGCAGAAGAGGAAAGUGGUAUUCCACGUGUAGCGGUGAAAUGCGUAGAGAUGUGGAGGAACACCAGUGGCGAAGGCGACUUUCUGGUCUGUAACUGACGCUGAGGCGCGAAAGCGUGGGGAGCAAACAGGAUUAGAAACCCCGGUAGUCC
rnacentral:rRNA from 1 species